ACCGCUAUCGAAAGAUAACGCUGAACGUGCAGAAGUCAGCAGAGGUCAUAUUAGCUGAAAGUUUUUUUCAGUGAAGGAC
rnacentral:ncRNA from 1 species